rnacentral:tRNA from 2 species
GGUAAAAUGGCUGAGAUAAGGAGGUGUUAGAUUGUAAAUCUAUUUAGGGGAAAAAUUUUCCUUUUUACCA